ACACGGAAGUUAAGCUCUCCAGCGCCGAUGGUAGUUGGGGCCAGCGCCCCUGCAAGAGUAGGUCGUUGCUAGGC
rnacentral:rRNA from 1 species